rnacentral:tRNA from 1 species
GACCACGUAGCUCAGUUGGCAGAACAUUGGACUAGUAUCCCAAAGGUCGUGGGUCCGACUCCCACCGUGGCCA